rnacentral:sRNA from 1 species
AAAAGUGACACAGAAGGAGGAAGAAGAGACCCUAAGAAAGGAUGCUGAAGAGCUCAAGGCAUGGAUUGAUUUGAUAGAGACCAUGGACGAGCAGCAACUAAUGGAGUAUCUAGAAAAUCAUGCUGGAGAGAUUAAAGUGCCAAAGGUUCAAAAGCCCAAGAAGAAGGUCCAAAGCACUGGGAAGCCAAAGUCUUCCACUGGGAUUCUGGCUUCAGUUUGGAGGUUUCACAAAAAUGAGUA